rnacentral:lncRNA from 1 species
UUUUUUUUUUUUUUUUUAAGAUGGGGUCUUCCUCUGUCACCCAAGCUGAAGUGUAGUAGCGCCAUCAUGGCUCAUGCAGCCUCGACCUCCCAGGCUCAAGUGAUCCUUCCACCUCAAAGGAUGACAUUCUUAAAGGACUUUGGGACAUCUCAUCUAUUUCCCACUCCAUCCCAGGAUGAGUUCUUAACAAGUGCACAAUAAGGACAUCUCUGGAGGAUGUUCCUAUAGUCCUUCCACAAGUAUUAAUGUGCACUCUUGUGCUCCAACAAUAGUUCCUAUUCCUAAGGGGAAAAAAAUGGUUUCCCUCUGAUGAAUAGUGCAAGAUUUAAAAAAGAGACAUGAGUGAAAGAAAGUGGGGAGUGGUGUCAAAGGCAGCAUGAAAAAUAGUUUACAAUGCUACCUCUCAUGGACUGUCCUGGGCAUUAUGGUUGUAAGCAUGGGUUUGGGGGUUGGACUCCUUGGGUCCCAGCUUGGCUCUGUCACAUCCAUGCUCUGCAACUUUACUAAACCUUUCUAAGCCUCACUCCUUCAUGUCAUGGUAGAACAACAAUAUUGGCUCAUAAGAUUGUCAAGAAGAUUAAACGAGACAAUAUAGGUAACACAUAGCUCAGUGCCUGCAGUAGAGUAAGUGUUCAAAAAUGUCAGCUCUUGCAAAACCAGCAAUGGCAAAGUAGAACACAUGAGCAUCAUAGGGUAUUGUUAGUAUUAAUUCCUAGGAGGAACUGAGGAAUUUCUUUUUUAAUCUUAGAUGAGCCACCAGGAAGGAAAAUAGAGAAGUGACAUCAGAACCGUGUUAUCUUUUCCCACACUGAGAUGACAUAGAAUAGUCUUCUCCCAAGGACAUCCUAGCUGAAGGCCGUUGAGGGUGAAGAAGGCUGUGCAACGUUCUCACCCAAGUCUGCCACUGGUUUUUCUUCCAAGACCUUUUGCAGUGCUUCUCUUAGGGACUUUCUACUUUCUUUCUCCUGAUACGACCUACCACAAAAUAGACAAUUGGAUUGACACUGCAAUUGAUAGUGGACAAAAUAUUCAAAUAAGGAUAUAAUUUCCACACCAAGUUGUUACUAGGAUUAAAAAAAGGCUAUGAUGCGCAGGACCUUUAUGGGCAUGGCAAAGACAAGAAACAAGACCACAGUAGCUAUGAUGAUUAUGUAGAGCUUGGCAGGUUGGCGUGGCUUCAGGUUACAGCAGACUUGGAUGAAGAGCCUCAAACUGGUGAAGAUCAUGAGAGGAACAAAGACAAGGAAUGCCAAGAUACCUAAAAAUUUAUAAACGUAUGGACGUUUUGGGAAUCUAAACUCAUCUACCUGGAUGCAGAAGAAGUUUUCUAAUCCAAACACAAGAAGAGAAAGUGCCCACAGCAGAGUGCAGGCUACAGCAGAUUGGUGCUUUGGGAGUUGGCACUGGUACCAGAUUGGGUAAAGCAGAGAGACACUGCUCCACACUGAUGAUGGUGAGAAGGUGCAGACCUGCGUUGUAGCCAAAAAGUAUCAGGAAGAUGAUGUAUUUCAGUAAGGUGUCAUCGUUGAGGCAAUCACAAAGCAGGAUUAUCAGCGGGAGGACAGAUGUGCAGAGGACCAUGAAGUCAGCGAUGACGAGGUGUAGGUUGUAGACAGUGAAUGGCUUCCUCUUUACAUAGAAGAUGAGAAACAACAUCAAAAGUCCAUUCCCAAUUACUCCCAGUAUGCAAAUGAGCAGGGAAAUGUAGAUAUAACGGUGCUGUUCUCAUGAUUCUACUGGGGGCUGAGUCGCUUGCUCUGAGGACCAGGUUGUGUGAUUCAGGGAUUCAUUUCUGGUACAGAGUGCAGAUUCCAGAGGGCUCAUGGUCACUGCCGAUAGCGCCAUUCUUGGGGAAUCACCGGUUUUCUCCUGUAGACCUGUUGUCAGAAACGGAAGGUGGAGUUUAUGGGUGUCAUUUGCUCUGCAUCUCAAGAUGAGCACAGUUUUAUGAAGGACGCUCCUCCACACAGUGGCGUAGGAGGGAGGAUGUAAGACCAGAGAGGCUCUUGCUAUAUUUCAUCUCCUUCCCUCUGUUCUCUCCUUCCAUCAUUUUCCCGCACGGGCAGAUUCCAUUAUGAUCUCCAUGUUUCCUCCCCUGAACCCAAGGGUUGGCUCCUAAUUCCAGCCUCGGCUACUGUCUCAGACCAGGGUCCCCUUCCUCCUGGCCCUGUAGGAAAGCCCACUAUGUCCCCAGCUUGUCCUCUGCCUUCCAGAAAGAGAUUUCUUUUCUUACCAGAACUAGGUGACAGAUUCAAGAAAAGGAUCAAAGAGACACUUAUUUAAAAGGCACCAAUGAGCAAAAACCAACACACAAAAGAAGUAAAGAAAAUAAAGAUAGUGCAUUUAGAAAUCCACCAAUCAUGUCUGUCUUAUCUCUCAUCACUAUUCUCGUUUUGCCUUUGUAACAUCCCCCGGAAGUUUAUCCAUCCUAGAUGAAGGUCAUUCCCUUGGGCUUAGUUGAUAAGAGAAUCCAGCCAUUGAUGGGAGGAUGGAAAGGAACAGGAGAGAGGAAG